GAGUUUGAUCAUGGCUCAGGACGAACGCUGGCGGCGUGCCUAAUACAUGCAAGUCGAACGAACGGAGAAAGAAGCUUGCUUUUUUCAAAGUUAGUGGCGAACGGGUGAGUAACACGUGGGUAACCUGCCCAUCAGAGGGGGAUAACAUUCGGAAACGGAUGCUAAAACCGCAUAGGUUCCUUAGUUGCAUGACUGAGGAAGGAAAAGAGGCGUAAGCUUCUGCUGGUGGAUGGACCCGCGGUGCAUUAGCUAGUUGGUGAGGUAACGGCUCACCAAGGCGAUGAUGCAUAGCCGACCUGAGAGGGUGAUCGGCCACAUUGGGACUGAGACACGGCCCAAACUCCUACGGGAGGCAGCAGUAGGGAAUCUUCCGCAAUGGACGCAAGUCUGACGGAGCAACGCCGCGUGAGUGAAGAAGGUUUUCGGAUCGUAAAACUCUGUUGUUAGAGAAGAAUAAGCAUAAUAGUAACUGAU
rnacentral:rRNA from 1 species